UGCUCUGGAUCCUGCACUCUUCAUCUCACCCAUGGUUGCGCCAGGAGGUGGCAGCAGGGCCAGUAUGCCUCACCAGAGGUGAGUGGGUGCUGCACACUGGAUAGCACAGGACCUGCUGUGUGCCACAGUGCUCCUGGCCAUGUGACACAGCCCUGCAGCAGCAGGGAGAGGAGCCUGGCUGGGCUGGGUGCAAUUCUCCCUGUCCCCACUUGCCAUUCAGGCACCCCAGGAUCCCUGUCUGCUCCCCAGCUGGGAGGGCCCUGUUCCCCACCUCCCAUCCCUUCUGCCUGUGUCCGACCUUGGUGUCUCCCAGCCCCAGGGCCCAUCAGUGCCUGCUCUGGCUCUGCUUAUUGACAGGGCUGGGGGCUGCUCGGCCAGCACCCCCCGCCCCCGGCCCUUCAUUAGCUCAGCUGUCGGGCUGCAUCACAUCACCCACUGCCACAUACACGGCCCUGGCUCUGGCACUGCUGCUGCCACGUGUGUCCCUGCUGUCCCCACUCCCACCUCAUCGUGGGCCACCUCAGGAGGCUGAAGCCCCUGACCCCCAAGGCCAGGCUGUGUCCCAGUCCUUCCCGUGGCACUCAGGAUUUUGGCUGCCCCAUGUUCUGUCCCAUUGGUGCCCCAAAGCCUGAGUCCCCCACAAAGCCCCCGGUGCCAUUCACAAGGCUGGCACUUCCCACUGCAGCAAAACACUGCUGUGGUGUGGGGAGGCUGUGCUUCCAGCACUCCAUGAUAUCCCAUGUGCCUUUGUUGCUGGACACCACCACCCUGGCCCCAACAGCUACUUCAGUGUGGGCUGGGGUCCUGCCUCUGUCACCCAGCAUGAGUGGGGCCACAUCCUCAAUAUGGAUGCAGCAGGGUGACAGGCAGCCCCUCCAGCUGCUCCUUGGAAGAGAAACUCCUGUGAGUUCCAGCAGCUCCUACAACGCAAGGGGAUGUGAGGCACAACUCCCCUGUGUCAAUGGGGCUCGUCCUUGGGCAGGGUCAUGUGUAGCCCCUUGGUGGCACAGGGCCCGCAGGCCAGGGCUGGCCCCCCAGUAUUGACAGCCCCACUAAUGACAGGGAGUGUGACCAGGGGCAGGAGCAAGCAGUGCAGGACCAUCGACCGCAUCGACCGGCAGUGCUGGGCAACAAGGGCGCGGGGGUCCGUGGAGGGGGCAGGGGGACGUCAAUGGGUGGUAAUUAAUGGGAACGAGGCCACGUGUGCAGGGCCAGGGCUGUCGCUGGCCACGUCCCUCUGCUCGGUGCAGUCGAGUGCGGUUAUAAACGGCAGCCAGGCGAUCUCCAAGCCAGAGCGCAGAAGAGGCCCCCAAGCCAGCCCAGGAGACCAAGCCUGCACUGCCCUGCUCCGGCUUCAUCCCAGCCACAGGACGCCUCCUGCUCCAGCACUGCAUCCCGAGCACCCCAGUACCGGCACAGUUGCCCAGCAGGCUCCAGGCAUUGAGGCAGCUGCGCUCCAGCGCCAGGGACGCCCAGCACCGACUUGGCCAGAUGCUGCCUGUGCCCUGCCUCAGACAGGGGGGCCCUCUGCACCCUGUCUUGCACCGUCUGCUAGUCCUCACUGCUGCAAUAAAACCUGUCUGCCCAUCUCCAUGGGACUUGAGAGGGGGAACCCAGAGGCGUCCGGGGGUUGGUGGAGGUUUGGGAUGGUAGCAGGGUCAAUGCUUGCCACCUGUCCCCCUGCUCACGCCAGGGAUGAUGACAAUACAAAGGCCCGUGGCCCUGUGCCCAGCACUGCCUCCACUGCCCUGGCAUGGGCGGGGGGGCGUUAUUUAUGGAGGUGCAGCCACUGCUCAGGGCUCUUGGUGGGGCUGUCCCCCCCAGUGCCCUGCCCAGGGUGCCCAGAGCUGCCACCAGGUCUCUGUCUCUGUCCCCCAGGCCCCCGGGUUCUGGCCCCUUUAGCCCUCUACAUCUGUCCCUGGGUAGGAGCAGUAGGGGUAGGGUCUUCCAUGGGAGAUCCUAACUUGAUUUAUGGGACCAUUGGGAUCUCUGGGCCAGCAUGAGGAGGUUAGAAACCUCUCGGCUGCGGACAAAGUGCCACCAUUUGCCCUGAGAAUUCCUCCCCGUGCCUGGGGAAUCUGCUCCUCCAGCUGCCAACAGCAUCCUCUACCUCAGCACAAAGCACCAGCAUGGCUGGAGCUGGCCUUGAGGCUCAGCGGGCUCCUGGGGGACUCUGCCCCUGGUGCUGGGUGCAGUUUCCCCUGCUGCUCCCUGCAGAGCCAAACACUCUUGGCCAAGCCCUUGCUCCCAAAAUAGCACCAGGAUGAUCUUGCCCUUUUCCAUGCCACCCCCAGGCAGGGGUAAAUGUCAGCCCAGGGCCACCAAAACAUCCUAAGCCCCUCCAGGAAGGCAAAUGGGGAGCGAGGACUUCAUGCCAGUGCUAAACAGACCCAGUUCAGCAUCCUGAGGAAGUGCUCGGGACACCAGCCAGGGUGUCCCGUUGCAUGGGGGGAGGGGGUACCUGGGACAAUGCAGGACCCCCUCUUGCAGACCCACUGCUGCUUUUUAUAACACCCCAGCUGUCCUCGGGAGCCCAAAUAAGGCUGUGGCCACCCGGAGCCCCCGGGACACAUAAUGGGUCCUGAGCACAGACUUUUUGGGAAGGUGGGGAGGCGGGUCAGCCCAAGAAAGGCAAAGCCCCUGUGCUGGGCAGAGCUGAUAAACGGUCAGUGGGGCACAGGCAACACAGCUGCCCUACCCACCCAUUAUCUGUCCUGCAUCCCACUGCCCACCACUGCCUGUGUCCCACCAAGGAUGGAGGCCAUCAAGAAGAAGAUGCAGAUGCUGAAGCUGGACAAGGAGAAUGCCCUGGACCGGGCAGAGCAGGCAGAGGCUGAGCAGAAGCAGGCGGAAGAGCGGAGCAAGCAGCUGGAGGAUGAGCUAGCUGCUAUGCAGAAGAAGCUAAAGGGGACAGAGGAUGAACUGGACAAGUACUCUGAGGCCCUGAAAGACGCCCAGGAGAAGCUGGAGCUGGCAGAGAAGAAGGCGGCGGAUGCUGAGGCAGAAGUGGCAUCUUUGAAUCGCCGUAUCCAGCUGGUAGAGGAGGAGUUGGACCGAGCUCAGGAGCGCCUUGCCACAGCUCUGCAGAAGCUGGAAG